GACGAACGCUGGCGGCGUGCUUAACACAUGCAAGUCGAACGCUGAAGCUCAGCUUUUGUUGGGUGGAUGAGUGGCGAACGGGUGAGUAACACGUGAGUAACCUGCCCCCUUCUUUGGGAUAACGCCCGGAAACGGGUGCUAAUACUGGAUAUUCACUGGUCUUCGCAUGGGGGUUGGUGGAAAGGGUUUUUCUGGUGGGGGAUGGGCUCGCGGCCUAUGAGCUUGUUGGUGGGGUGAUGGCCUACCAAGGCUUUGACGGGUAGCCGGCCUGAGAGGGUGACCGGUCACAUUGGGACUGAGAUACGGCCCAGACUCCUACGGGAGGCAGCAGUGGGGAAUAUUGCACAAUGGGCGCAAGCCUGAUGCAGCGACGCCGCGUGAGGGAUGGAGGCCUUCGGGUUGUGAACCUCUUUCGCUCAUGGUCAAGCCGCAACAAUGGUUGUGGUGAGGGUAGUGGGUAAAGAGGCGCCGGCUAACUACGUG
rnacentral:rRNA from 1 species